rnacentral:siRNA from 1 species
AUAAACGGCUAUUGCAAACAAUGC